CUCAUCCAGGACUUCCAGCAGGCAUAGGCCUCUGGCACCUUUGGAGCUGCACUUCGGGAGGGGUACCUGUCACAACCAUGGACUUUGCUGAGGGAGUCUACAGGCUGCAAAAUAGUUUCAGCAAUUGCGUUUACGAAUCAAUAACGCAGACCAUGGUAUUGAAUACCUUGAUGCACAGGAUGAAUCCAAAUCAAACUGGAUGAGCAUCACAUCGAGUGACUCGGAGUGUCUGUCCUCCUUGCCCUCACUGCAGUAUUGCAUUUACCACAGCGGAUUUCCAUAAAUGGCAUUUGCAAAGGCAGCUUGAAGCAUCCAGACCAUCAGCUGAACAAACUUCUUCCUCCAAAGUAAGUCAUAGUUUGCAAUGCAAAACUGGGUGGUGUCCAUUCACACCAUCUGACAGAAGAGGAGUUGUAUAACUGGAUGAUCUUCAAACAUACACAAAAGAGAGACAGCAUCAAUGUCAAGACUGUAGGAAAAGUUUCACACUGGCAGGCACCUCCAUCAACACCAGCGCAUCCACACUGGAGAGAGGCCAUACAAAUGUUCUGAUUGUGGGAAAAGUUUCACACGGAAAGAGAACCGCCAUCGACACCAGCACAUCCACACUGGGGAGCAGCCCUACGAAUGUUCCAAAUGUGGGUAGAACUUUGCUUAUCUCUACCAGCCCUGAAACCUGUCAUGUGUGUGGGAACAUCUUGAAAGAUUCAGCAAUUUUUACAGUUCAUAUGAGAGAAUGUGUUGAAAAAUAAUAUUCAGCUGUAACCAAUUCCUAUUUUAUUAAAUUGCACUAAUUCUUUUGUUUUGAAUGGCUUGAAUAACUACUUGUUUUCUGGAACAAUUAUUAUUGGCACAUAUUGGGCUUUCCUCUGUUUGGUGAUAUAUUUGUGUGUAUGAAUUACAAGGGAUAGGUCCCAUGGGUUCCCACUCUCUGGGUGAAUUGGGGAUGGUGAUGGGGUUAUCACUACCACAUGUCUCACCAUCUCCCUGGGUCGUAUUGUUGGAUCCAACUGUUUAAUUUUAAUUGUCAUUUUCUUUGCAGUUUAACAAUCAGUUAUCUGCUUGUAUUUUAAGCAGCCUCUAUAUACAGGUACAUAACAGUUUAAUAUGCCUCUAGUGGUUAUACAAAGUAUAAUGCUGGAAGCUUCUUGGCUUCUUGG